GUCAGAGGGCUUGCACCUCAGCAGCAGUGGACACUGAGCCUGCCAGACGAAGAACAAAAUGGCUCCUUGAUGAAGUGCCCUUGGAAAUGAGAUGUUACCCAAUUGAAAAUGCUCCAGGACCAGAUGAGACGCAUCAAUGGAUGCUGAAAGAAACCGGAGUGGACAUCACAGAAGCACCAGCAAUAGUUUUUCAAUCUUCCCUUGAUUCAGAGGCUCUCUCAUCAGCAGUAAGGACUGACCACGCAUUGCCUCUGAUUACAGUCAACUGGAAUUAUGGUGAAGGCAGGUUCAAUUGAGAUAUACAAGGGCCCAUCAGAUGAUUAUCUGAACAGAAACAAUGUGCAAGAGUAUCAUGAAAAACAGGAGAUUGAUAUUAAGUCAUAAUGUUUAUUUUGAGAGCUGAUGUUGAUACUGUGGGCCAAACAGCUACCUCCUGUACAGUAAUACUUCUGUGAUGGAUGGUGUCGUCUCUAUGUCCAGGCUCACAAUAUUGGUCACCUAAAUUCCAUAGAGGCUGGAGUGAAGUGAACUACAAGCUGCUGCAAAUAAACUACAGUAUGUGGAAGCCAACGUUGCAUCAUCAAUAAACAGCAAUUUGUGGACACUGACUUUACAGCUUGCAACAAGGGUCUGAUGUACAGAACUGUGCCUAUGCUUGGAGAAAGAACAAAUGACACCCAGGAUUUCA